ACAACUUUCAGCAACGGAUCUCUUGGCUCUCGCAUCGAUGAAGAACGCAGCGAAAUGCGAUAAGUAAUGUGAAUUGCAGAAUUCAGUGAAUCAUCGAAUCUUUGAACGCACCUUGCGCUCUUUGGUAUUCCGAAGAGCAUGCCUGUUUGAGUGUCAUU
rnacentral:rRNA from 1 species